AAUAUUUUAGUUUAUAUAAAACAUUGGUUUGUGGUACCAUUAAAACUUUCAUUAUUU
rnacentral:tRNA from 1 species